GAAAAGUAUCAUCACGCUGUUGUGUUCUGCUUUAAUGCAACACAGGUGAGAUAAGAAAGAAGACAUGUAACGACAGAACGCGCAAUACUAGCAACAAGGAAAUUGUUUCAAGAAGAAAGAAAUCUAAGCAUUUUCAUUCAAAACAAUAUAUUCUACUUCUUUCUCGGCUUCUUUUUUGUUUCCCUUUGUAAUACGAUAAUAAUUGUAGACACCGAUUCCGCAAAGCGUGAUUACCAAGCCGACAA